GUGAUAUCCGACCACUGGAGGCAGCAAUCUUCGUCGCCGAGGAUCGGUGGCCACGGCGGAGACCCACCGUCCCAUGGCCGGUCAGAAAGGGGGUUGAGGGAACAAAGAGAGUUUUUUUUUAAAAGGUUACAAAGGAUUUUUUUUAAGUUUUUUUUAACUUUUAUAAGCCCCUUAAAACAGCGUCGUUUUGGGCUUCGCUUCAUAAGCCCAAAAUGGCAUCGUUUCGAACCUGAUCUGAAUAUUCAACCCGACCCCUCCUAGGAUCCACGUGUUUUUGAAUGGAGG
rnacentral:lncRNA from 1 species